UCUUUCGUAUUGUUUAUUACUUUUGGUGUUAUCUCCCGUAGUUGUCAUGAGCUAUUUUUUAACCCAAAUUUGAGGAUGUAGGUCAAGCUGAACCAAAGGCAUUUUCCAUCAUAUUAGGAAUUUGUUGGUCAAGCACCUGCUGUACAUAGAACAACAAUCCAUUACAGCUUUGACUAUGCCAAGCAGGUCUUCUACCCAUACUAGGCACAGCAAGAGUGCCAUGCUUUGAAGUGUUCUGUAAAUCAUAUGGUUCACAGAUAUCUCAGUGAUGAAGGGUUUAGCUGUUAUGUGGCCAAUGGUGUGGUACCUCAUUUUCAACAUCAUCCAUAUAGAGAAGACUCGGCAUACCUGCACAUUGACAACUAUGUUGGGUGGAAUAAAAACAAUGCAGUCAUUGGGGUCUGAUGUAUUCUGAAGGGAGAGAAACAGCAUUUACUUAAAUGAAUGCAGGUGACAUAAAGUUCAGUGCUGUGUGAGAUUUGGUCUGUGGAAGACCAAAUGGAGGCAGCACACAUCCUUUGUGGAUUGAUGACCUUGGCAAACUGGUUAUAUUCUUUGACUGGUUGGAGUACACCAAGUGACCCCUGAAGUCCAUUCCAAACUUAAGGAAAUAUCAUCACUUCAGAACUUCAGCUGACCACCCAGUGAGUGAAUUCAUGAGAGAGCAUGCCAAGGACAGUGAGAUUGAAGUUAAAAUUGACAAGCCCACAACAAUGGCUUUUCCAUUGAGAGUACCCUGAACGCAUCCAACUAAAAGGACUUAAUGCAAAAAGGCUCUGAUCCCUUAAAUAAGUGAAAAAUCUAAUAUACUGAUAUGUGAUCUUUAUAAACUAAAUAUAAGAUUUGAAUAUGAGCCUGUUACUGAGCUGAUGAAAGCGUGUAUCAAUUCUUUAUUGACAAUUAUUUAUUCAAUAGAAACAUGUUCAUGUGAUAUGAAGCUACCAGUGAUUCUGAGUGAAAAAACUGUGGUUUUAGCAAAUGAUUGAUAGAAGGGUGCUACACCCUGUCUUUUGACGGUAGAGCCCCUUUGCCAUAAUGAAGACCAAUAUAUGAUUAUUAUUAAUACAAACUUAAAACAAUCUGGCAGUUGAAGCCUAUAAAUGCUUGAAUUGAAGACAUUUAUAGUAUUGUUUGUCAAUAUUAGUUACUUCACAGCCUGAUAAAAUGUACCUUAGCAACCUUUCAGAUUUUCUUCAAUAUCUUUAUUUUUAAAACCUUCAUGAACCCUAUAAACAUUUUCAGCUUUAACUUUUACCUAUGAAUAAGCAUCGAAAAUAUAAUUUGUCAUGUACUAUGUGACCAAUUGCAUACCUCUUGAAACUACAUAAUGACGUGUACAUGCUAAGUAGUUAGCAUGUUAAAUAAAUUGUUUUCAUUUUUGUAAAAUGUAAAUGUGCCCAUUUAUUAACUGAUCUAAUUUUACAAUAGUGUAAAUUGUGUAGGAUUGUUAUGUUUAUUUAAUUAAGAGUAUAUAUACUACCAUUUCAUGUUUUAUGAGCAAUGAAUGACUAUACAAAAAAUCACAUUUGAGGUAAAUUGGUAAAGUUGGUGUGAUUAUAAUCAUGUUUGUGGCCUGUUGCCAUGGUAACCAGAAUAAAAAACAAACCCUUAAAUACCAUUCAAAUAAGAUAAAUUAUAGUAAAUUACAGGGGUAACAUACUUUAACUUCUAGAUAUACAUUGGUUUGUAUUAGGUGCAAGUUACAACCUAAUGUCAAUUUAUUGUGAAAAAUUGCCAAUAAACCAUGGUACUUGGCGAACAGUUUUUAUUUAUUCGGAUUUUUUUUGAAUGCCAAAUACAAACACCAUGUACAGUAAGGUUUGAGUAUAUCAAUUAACAAAUCAAUUAUUAUUGAAUGCUUCAUAUGGCAUUUAUUGUAUAUUUAAAUGCAAAUUUAACCCCAAAACGCCUUUUUCAAUAAUGGUUGCCAUGGUAACCAAUUAAUUUUCAUUUAUUUUCUCAAUAAUAAUUGAGAUUGGUUUUGAAAAUAUAUUGUUGUCGUUAUAAUGUGGCAAUUGUGUAUAUUGUAGUGAUGAAUAUUUAUAGCAUCUGUGAAUACAAAUGUUUUAAUAAAUUCUUGAACUAU